GAUGAACGCUGGCGGCGUGCCUAAUACAUGCAAGUCGAGCGAACAGACGAGGAGCUUGCUCCUCUGACGUUAGCGGCGGACGGGUGAGUAACACGUGGAUAACCUACCUAUAAGACUGGGAUAACUUCGGGAAACCGGAGCUAAUACCGGAUAAUAUAUUGAACCGCAUGGUUCAAUAGUGAAAGACGGUUUUGCUGUCACUUAUAGAUGGAUCCGCGCCGCAUUAGCUAGUUGGUAAGGUAACGGCUUACCAAGGCAACGAUGCGUAGCCGACCUGAGAGGGUGAUUCGCCACACUGGAACUGAGAAACGGUCCAGACUCCUAGGGGAGGCAGCAGUAGGGAAUCUUCCGCAAUGGGCGAAAGCCUGACGGAGCAACGCCGCGUGAGUGAUGAAGGUCUUCGGAUCGUAAAACUAUGUAAUUAGGGAAGAACAAAUGUGUAAGUACCUAUGCACGUCUUGACGGUACCUAAUCAGAAAGCCACGGCUAACUACGUG
rnacentral:rRNA from 1 species